GAUGAAGAACGCAGUGAAAUGCAAUAAGUAAUGUGAAUUGCAGAAUUCAGUGAAUCAUCGAAUCUUUGAACGCACAUUGCGCCCGCCAGCAUUCUGGCGGGCAUGCCUGUUCGAGCGUCAUUUCAACCCUCGAGCCCCCCCGGGGGCCUCGGUGUUGGGGGACGGCACACCAGCCGCCCCCGAAAUGCAGUGGCGACCUCGCCGCAGCCUCCCCUGCGUAGUAGCACACACCUCGCACCGGAGCGCGGAGACGGUCACGCCGUAAAACGCCCAACUUCUUAGAGUUGACCUCGGAUCAGGUAGGAAUACCCGCUGAACUUAAGCAUAUCAAUAAGCGGAGGA
rnacentral:misc_RNA from 1 species